rnacentral:rRNA from 1 species
ACAUGCCUACAACAUAGCAUUAAUGCACCAGAUCCCAUUAGAACUCCACAUUUAAGAAUGCUCAGGAUAACGUAGUACUGAGAUGGGUGACCACCCAGGAAUUCCUAGUGUUUUACAUGCC